UACGAAGGGGGCUAGCGUUACUCGGAUUGACUGGGCGUAAAGGGCGCGUAGGCGGCUUGUACAGUCAGACGUGAAAUUCCUGGGCUCAACCUGGGAACUGCGUCCGAUACUGGCAGGCUUGAAUCCGGGAGAGGGAUGUGGAAUUCCAGGUGUAGCGGUGAAAUGCGUAGAUAUCUGGAGGAACACCGGUGGCGAAGGCGGCAUCCUGGACCGGUAUUGACGCUGAGGCGCGAAAGCUAGGGGAGCAAACGGG
rnacentral:rRNA from 1 species